rnacentral:lncRNA from 1 species
UUUUCAGCAAGUUUUGGAAAUCUGCUGAUGAAAUUGAAUCAGAUAAAAUUGCCAAAAUGAUACAUGAUUCUGUUAUAAAGAUUGUUAAAAAAAGGGAAGACAAAGUAGUCACUGGAGAAGCUGAUAACAUCGGUCGUGAUUUUCUGGGAUUACUUGUAAAUGCUUAUCAUGAGGCGGACCAGAAAAAUAGGCUUUCGAUACAAGAUUUGGUAGAUGAGUGUAAAACUUUCUAUUUUGCUGGGCAAGAAACAGUCAAUUCCUUGCUUGCAUGGGCAACCCUGCUUUUAGCAAUACACACCGAUUGGCAAGAUAAAGCAAGAGCAGAGGUGAUUGAGGUCUUUGAUAAUCAAAACCCAGAUUCUGAAGGGAUGGCCAAAUUAAAGACGGUAAGCAAACUAUACAAAUUCAAUAGCUUGAAAACUAACAGUGAACAUUUAUAUUGCCUUUUGGAUUUCUUUUUCUCCAACAGAUUACCAUGAUUAUCAAUGAAACUUUACGGCUCUAUCCUCCUAUAAGUGGCGUGAUAAGAAAAGUAGGAAGAGAAGUCCGAUCAGGAACACUUGUCCUGCCUAUUCAUUCAGAGGUCGACAUGCGAAUCAUAGCACUUCACCAUGAUCCUGACUUAUGGGGAGAUGAUGUUGAUCUUUUCAAACCAGAGAGGUUUGCUGACGGCUGAAACUACUAAGUACAAUGCAGCUGCAUUUAUGCCCUUCGGAUUGGGACCUCGAUCUUGCGUAGGCAUGAGCUUUACAAUCAUUCAAGCGAAAAUUGCACUUUCCAUGAUUCUGCAACGCUACACUAUCAAUCUCUCCCCUAGCUAUGUUCAUGCACCUUUACAACGUCUUACACUCAGGCCACAACAUGGGAUUCAGGCCACAACUUUUUUUUUGUUUUAAAAUAUAAUUUCUUUCCUAACGAUAUAAUUUGUUUAUCUAAAAGUGUUUUAGCUAUAAUAAAAUUUGUUACAAUAUCUUUAACACAAUGGUAAUAGUUACAAAUACUAUUACGCAACCAUAGUAUAUUGGUUGCAAAAUAAAAUUUGCAACAAUGUAAAAUUAAAUUUGCUAAGUUUUUUACGUAACAAUAAUAAUAUUGAUUACUAAAUAUUAUUUUGUAAGGAUAUUUUAUUUAGUUGUGUAUUACAUUGUGCAAUGAUUAUAUUUCAUUGUCAAAAAAAUAUUUUAACAACCAUUAAACGUGGUUAUCAAAUCAUUUACGUAACAAUAAUACUAUUUGUUGCUGAAUAUUAUUUUGCAAUAAUGUUUUAAUUGGUUGUGUACUAAUUACGCAACAACUAUAAAAAUUUAUAAAUUGAGUUCGGUUGUUAAAAUAGGAUUCGUUAACUCGACUAAUUCAAAUUUUUUUUACUCGAUCGAAUAUUCACCACUAUUUCUAAACUAUAAUAAUGGAAACUCGUUAAGUCAUAAAAAAUUCAAGUAAAUGUUUUAAACUUGAGUUUUAUGAAUACAAAAAAUAAUUUUAAAAGCUAUUUUAAAUUAUAAAAUUUAUUUGGUAUAAAUUAAAAUUAAAUACAAAAUAUAAUUAGAUUGUUUGAUAAAAUAUAAUAUUUUAAAAAUUUAAAGGUGGGGUAUUUGAAGAAUUUAAAAGAGAUAAAAUAAAAAUAAUUGAAACAAAUUCUACAUUAAGAUAUAAAUAGUUAUUUAUCUACUUUUCAGUUUCCAUAUCUUUUCGUAGAAAAAUCCAAUCAUUUGUUUUUUAUUAUGAAUCAUCAAACUUGCUUAAAAACAUAAAUUAUUAGUUGAUUUAAUUUUUUUUAAUUGAUUAUCAAACAAGCCCUUGAUUCAAGUGCCAUUUAUGUCAAAAAAGUUUUAAGUAAUAGUAACAUAAACAUUCAUUUUAUAACAAUAAAGUUAAAGCCACGAAUAUUUUCAAAAAAAUUCAAUUAAGCCCUUGAAUGUUAAAAUUUCAAUCAAUUAAGCUCUUUGAUAGUUAAAGUUAACAGUUAAUUGUUAUAGUUAAAAUUUCAAUCAAUUAAGGCACGGUGUAGCGUUUGUUUACCUCAUCCUUUAACCUUGUGGUUGAGGGUUCGGUCCCUACUUAUGGAAAUGAAGCACAUUUCAUAGUCAGUCAUUUACCUAUUUGGAGAGCACUUAUAGUGAGGAGAUUAACUACUGUUGUUGUUGGUGGAUACCCUGAUUAUGACAAAUAAAAAAUAACAACUGUCUUUUUUUUUGGAUUAUUUUUGCCAAGUGCCAUGCUAAGAUUGUGCCACGUGGUAUGAAAUUAGAAAAAUCAUAUAAAAAUUAUAAAAGAAUUAUAAAAAUGAAUAAAAUUAGAAAAAAAUAUAUAAAAAAUCUAUUUUUAAAAGGUUAAUAAAUUUUAUAUUUUAUUAUUUUUAAAAGGAUAAUAAAUUUUUAAAAGGUUUUUUUUAUUCUUAUAUUUUUAAGGGCGAUUUAAAUUUAAUUUCAAAAUAGGGCAUGCCUAAUAUAUAAAUAGACAUUUAAUUGGUGUCCAAGAGGAAUGGCGUCACUCCUAUUUUUCAUCUAGUUUAAAAAUAAUAAUUACUUCAUCAGGUAUCUGAACAUUUUAUAUAAUUUUUUUUCAGUUCGAUGUCACCAAUAACAACGACGACACCCAAAAUAUAUAUUUUUUAAAACUACCAAUGACAAUGAGUCACCGACAUUUACUGUUUAAAAUGAGUUUCAAAAUAAGUCAUUUUUAUAAAUAAUUAAAAGUUUUGGGUAUUUUUAAUAAAAAAGCCUAAGUUUGAUGAAUGGCGUCAGCCAUUAUGUAGGUCUACUUAAUACGAAAACGACGGCUUGGUUUUGUUGGCCAAAAGGAAAGUACCUUUUGGGUUUUGCUUUGCCCAAAUGCUAGCAAAGUCUUUGCAUGCAUUUGUUUGAUUGGAAAAGUGAGAAAUAGAUGAACAUGGUAAGCACAAAUUCUAGACAUUACCAUAUCACCUAUAAAAUUUAGUUAUCUUUUUAAUUUCUUUUGGUGUAUUAUAAAAAAAAAUUCUAAUAACACGACUUGAAUCAAAUCAUAUCUUAGUCAAGAGAUGGGGUUAUUUUAAUUUUUGUCUAUAAAAAGAAUCUUGUUCAUUGAGGGCCCUAGUAGGAGGUAUUGAAUAAGAACUAGAAGUCAAAUCCUGCACGCUUCCCAUUUCUGUGUAUUGAAUUGGCUGUAAUUUUCAAAGGACAUGAACCUUGAAGAGGGACAAGUGUAGUCUCUUGAUGAUAAAUGUGUUGACUGUCACCUUGCAAAACCCAGAUUACCAUAACAGGUGCAAAAUCUGAUCGGUGAAGAUAAGAAAAUGGAGACCAUGGGAAAUCUUCUAAUCCUGUUUACAGCUUCUUUAUGCCUCUACCUUUUCGUUGCUUUGCUCAAUGUUUUCUACAAGUAUUGCUGGAUACCUCAACGGGUACAGUUCAUCAUGAAUUCACAAGGAAUCAGAGGACCUCCUUAUGAAUUUAUCCAUGGAAACAACAAAGAAGCUGCCCAAAUGCUCAUGGAAGCAUCUACCAAACCUAUGGCCUUGACACACGAUAUAUUUCCCAGAGUCAUGCCUCAUGUUUACUCCUGGAUCAACAAAUACGGUGAGAAUAUGUUUUUUUUUCCUUUCUUGGGUAGUAUUUUCUGAUUAACCUCCACUUUCCAUGAAGAGAAAUCAUUUUCUUUCAGGGAAGACUUAUCUUAGUUGGAAUGGAAUUCGAGCUCAACUGCUAAUUACAGACCCAGAUCUAGUCAAAGAGGUCCUUAAAAACAGUGACAAAGCUUUUCGAAAGCCAAAGGCUUCAUAUUUCUUCGACAAGCUACUAGGCGAUGGGCUUGCUUCAACCGAACGUGAGAAAUGGGCAAGGCAAAGGAAACUGGCCAAUUAUGCCUUUCAUGGGGAGAGCUUAAAAGUAAAUCAUCUCUACCUUCUAAUCUAAUUAUUGUAGUGCGACAUUUACAAACUUGAUAAUUUCUUGCAGAAUAUGACUCCAGCAGUAGUUGCUAGCGUUGAAACCAUGCUUGAGAAAUGGAAAAGUAAGGAGGGCAAAGAGAUAGAAGUGUUCCAAGAGUUCAGAUUAUUGACUUCAGAAGUGAUAUCCAGAACCGCCUUUGGUAGCAGUUACUUGGAAGGGGAGAAGAUUUUUGACAUGCUGAUGAAGUUGUCAGUAAUUGCAGGCAGAAAUAUUUUUAAAGCAAAGAUUCCCAUCAUCAGGUAACUUCAUCAAAUCUUUACUUUGUUAAUCAACAUACUUCAGCUUACAAUGGGUUGAUUUAAUCUGGUUGUCCUUUUCAGCAAGUUUUGGAAACCUGCUGAUGAAAUUGAAUCAGAAAGAAUUGCCAAAAUGAUACAUGAUUCUGUGAUGAGGAUUGUUAAAAAAAGGGAAGAGAGAGUAGUGAACGGAGAAGCUGAUAACUUUGGUCGUGAUUUUCUGGGAUUACUUGUAAAUGCUUAUCAUGAGGCGGACCAGAAAAACAAGCUUUCGAUUCAAGAUAUGGUAGAUGAGUGUAAAACUUUUUAUUUUGCUGGGCAAGAAACAGUCAAUUCCUUGCUUGCAUGGGCAACUCUGCUUUUAGCAAUACACACCGAUUGGCAAGACAAAGCAAGAGCAGAGGUGAUUGAGGUCUUUGGUAAUCAAAACCCAGAUUCUGAAGGGAUGGCUAAAUUAAAGACGGUAAGCAAACUAUACAAAUUCAAUAGCUUGAAAACUAGCACUGACCAUUUAUAUUGCCUUUUGGAUUUUUUUUUUCUCCAACAGAUUACCAUGAUUAUCAAUGAAACUUUACGGCUCUAUCCUCCUAUAAGUGGCGUGACAAGAGAAGUAGGAAGAGAAGUCCAAUUAGGAAAACUUGUCCUGCCUACUCAUUCAGAGGUCGACAUGCGAAUCAUAGCACUUCACCAUGACCCUGACUUAUGGGGAGAUGAUGUUAAUCUUUUCAAACCAGAGAGGUUUGCUGAUGGGAUAGCGAAAGCUACUAAGUACAAUGCAGCUGCAUUUAUGC